GGGCUUUAUUCAGAAAAAGUUUCUUGGGCUACAUUGAUUUUCCAAGUGGGCGUUAUGUGAAUUCCGUGUAUAUCUUCAUGGACAAACUUGUUGUUCUAACCUACGAUGGCUCAGCUUCAAGGGAACGUAUCUGCUAUUUGUAUUUCCAGCUGAGUCCCCUCCUGUUCCAUGAUUUAACAAGUGAUGACCACUCCACUACCAUUGUCAACUACCUCCUCACAUGAACUGGAAGCCACGUCUCAUGUGGCCCACUCAUCCACUGGCACAUUGAAUGUUUCCUCUCCAAGCACGUCAAAUCCUGUCCUGCACUGGUCAAGCUCUGAACACCUCAACUCAUGCCUCAUACCCUCAUUCAAUCACUGCUGUGAUCCCUUCCCAAAAUGGUGCAGCCUGGGAAAGAACUGAAAAAACUCACUAAAGAGUCAAGACAGAGACACCAGAAAGACCCAAGAAGACUUGGACGCAGCAUCAGAGGACAGAGAGGGAUGUUCAGAACUCACUCAGUCUGGUCAGUUGGUGAUGGUAGACUUGGAGGCUGCUUACCUGACAUGGAGGAAGUCCCCCCUCC
rnacentral:lncRNA from 1 species